rnacentral:lncRNA from 1 species
UAACCGGUAGUUGUAAAUCCUAUUUUCAGUUUUUCCCCAGCAAGGCUAUUCUUACCCAGUAACCGGUAAUGAAUACACCUCUUGGCGGCCCUCGGUGAGUCAUCCUUGAUAUGUUUACCCUAGCCGGUAAUAAAUGUUCUCCCUGUCAGAUUUCUGUUAUCCCCAUACCCAGUAACCGGUAGUGGAUAAUACAUUUCUGCUCCUCCUGUGGUUGAAGAUCUUUUUC